CACAAGCGGUGGAGUAUGUGGUUAAUUCGAUGCAACGCGAAGAACCUUACCUGGUCUUGACAUCCCGGAGACCCUUAGGAAACGUAGGGGGUGCUUCCAUCUGGAAGAAUCUGGAGACAGGUGCUGCAUGGCUGUCGUCAGCUCGUGUCGUGAGAUGUUGGGUUAAGUCCCGCAACGAGCGCAACCCUUGCCUUUAGUUGCCAGCAGUUCGGCUGGGCACUCUAAAGGGACUGCCGGUGUUAAACCGGAGGAAGGUGGGGAUGACGUCAAGUCCUCAUGGCCUUUAUGACCAGGGCUACACACGUACUACAAUGGCCGAUACAAAGGGCAGCGACACUGCGAGGUGAAGCCAAUCCCGUAAAAUCGGUCUCAGUCCGGAUUGGAGUCUGCAACUCGACUCCAUGAAGUUGGAAUCGCUAGUAAUCGUGGAUCAGCAUGCCACGGUGAAUACGUUCCCGGGCCUU
rnacentral:rRNA from 1 species